rnacentral:sRNA from 1 species
GCUGGGCGUGGUAGCUCACGCCUGUAAUCCCAGCACUUUGGGAGGCUGAGGUGGGCGGAUCACCUAAGGUCAGGAGUUCCGGAGCAGCCUGGGCAACAUGGUGAAACCCCGUCUCUACUAAAAAUGCAAAAAUUAGCUGGGUGUGGUGGCAUGCGCCUGUAGUCCCAGCUACUAGGGAGGCUGAGGCAGGAGCAUCACUUGAACCCGGGAGGUGGAGGUUGCAGUGAGCCGAGAUCACACCACUGUACUCCAGCCUGGCUACAGAGCCAGACUCCGUCUCA